rnacentral:rRNA from 1 species
GACGAACGCUGGCGGCGUGCUUAACACAUGCAAGUCGAACGGAAAGGCCCUGCUUUUGUGGGGUGCUCGAGUGGCGAACGGGUGAGUAACACGUGAUUAACCUUCCCUAGACUUUGGGAUAACUUCAGGAAACUGGGGCUAAUACCGGAUAGUAGCUCCUGCUGCUUGGUGGGGGUUGGAAAGUGUCGGCGGUUGGGGAUGGACUCGCGGCUUAUCAGCCUGUCGGUGAGGUAGUUGCUUGCCAAGGUAUUGACGGGUAGCCGGACUGAGAGGGUGACAGGCCACAUUGGGACUCAGAUACGGGCCGUACUCCUACGGGAGGAAGAAGUGAGAGAUAUUGCAAGAUGCGCGGAAGCAUGGUGGAGGGACGCCGGGUGGGAGAUGACGGUUGUAAGGGUGGAAAGCGCGUUCGCCUGUGACGAAGCGUCAGUGACGGUAAUGGAUAAAGAAGCAACGGCUAACUACGUG